GUACACACCGCCCGUCACACCAUGGGAUUUGGAUUCACCCGAAGGCAGUGCGCCAACCGCAAGGAGGCAGCUGACCACGGUAGGCUCAGCGACUGGGGUGAAGUCGUAACAAGGUAGCCGUAGGUGAACCUGCAGAAGGAUCA
rnacentral:rRNA from 1 species